UACGGGGGGGCGAAGCGUUGUUCGGAAUUACUGGGCGUAAAGGGCUCGUAGGCGGCCAACUAAGUCGGACGUGAAAUCCCCAGGCUCAACCUGGGAACUGCGUCCGAUACUGGGAGGCUUGAAUCCGGGAAAGGGAUGUGGAAUUCCAGGUGUAGCGGUGAAAUGCGCAGAUAUCAGGAGGAACACCGGUGGCGAAGGCGGUUCUCUGGGCAUGUCCUGACGCUGAGGAGCGAAAGUGUGGGGAGCGAACAGG
rnacentral:rRNA from 1 species